UGUCAAGAGGGGUGGAAGGUGGUCAGGUUUGGGGGGGGGGGAAGAACCUCAGGCAGGCGCAUUGUACUCAGCAGUGGAAUGAAGGGCUUAACAUCGUAUGCAAAAAGGAAGCCCCUCUUAGGUUUUCACCAGGAUUAAAUGGAAUUAGCUUUGUAGUUUUUAUAAUCUUCUUCACAAAAGAAUGCAAUUUCAGUUUCAUUGGCGAUUGUAGCUGCUUUUAGAGUCCUAUCUGCUUUCAAACAGGAAUCUGUCAUCUUCUCCCAAACUCAACAUGAGUUCACUCGUCUGGUUUGUAAGCUUGAGACCACGUGGAGACAGAGAGGUCCCAGGAGCCCCAGCCCUGCCAGCUGCCAGCUGUUGGAGUCCUGCAGCCUGGGCACCAGUCGCACGAGUGAGCCAGCCUUCUGAUGACUCCAGCUCUAGCCAUUAUCUGCCUGCAACUACAUGACAGAUACAAAUGCCAACCACCUUGCUGAGGCCAGCAAACUCCCAGACUGUCUCUACUGGGAAACUCAGGGACCAGAGUGCCUGCCACUGCCCAGGAAGGUUCCUGACUUCCUCACCUCCCCUUGCUGCCUUACACCAAGCCACAUUCCCUUCGGCAACCUGAGCACCACCUGAGCAAAAUGCGUAAUGAAGACAAUG